rnacentral:lncRNA from 1 species
UCUGCCGUGAUUGGUGAGCUUCCUUCACCGGGACGUUAUUGAACGUGUCCAUCACUGCGGCUGGAGCUAGGCUGGAAAUGAUGGCAACACUCCUAGAAGAGCUCAACUGGGCAAGGAAACAAGAAUGAAACCACUCCUGGCUUUCAGUGGACCAGCUGAGGAUCAUGUGGUGAUGGAAGAGGGGGACUGGAACUCUCCUGGGGAAGAAAAGAGCUUUUGUCAUAUCAAACAUCUCCCAGUGAGUGAAACCCCAGCUUCAGCCUGGACAAAGGCCUCUGCCCAGCCUUGGGAAACGUCCAUUUCCCACCCCUUGGAAAAGGACAGCAACUGAGCAGGGCUUUUAAAGUCCUUCCCACAUUCUUUUCUGCAUGGA